GACGAACGCUGGCGGCGUGCUUAACACAUGCAAGUCGAACGGUGAAGGGACCGGUUUUUGCUGGUUCUGGCUGAGUGGCGAACGGGUGAGUAACACGUGAGUAACCUGCCCCCUUCUUCUGGAUAACCGCAUGAAAGUGUGGCUAAUACGGGAUAUUCUGCGCCUGCUGCAUGGUGGGUGUGGGAAAGAUAUUGUUUCGGUGGGGGAUGGGCUCGCGGCCUAUCAGCUUGUUGGUGGGGUGAUGGCCUACCAAGGCGGUGACGGGUAGCCGGCCUGAGAGGGUGGACGGUCACACUGGGACUGAGACACGGCCCAGACUCCUACGGGAGGCAGCAGUGGGGAAUAUUGCACAAUGGGCGCAAGCCUGAUGCAGCGACGCCGCGUGAGGGAUGGAGGCCUUCGGGUUGUAAACCUCUUUCGCCAGUGAAGCAGGCCUGUCCCUUUUGUGGGUGGGUUGACGGUAGCUGGAAAAGAAGCGCCGGCUAACUACGUG
rnacentral:rRNA from 1 species